rnacentral:rRNA from 1 species
UGCAAGCAGCCGCGGUAAGACAGAGGGUUCACACGUUGCUCGGAAUUAUUGGGCGUAAAGGGCGCGCAGGCGGUCUUGUCAGUCAGGUGUGAAAGCCCGGGGCUCAACCCCGGAUGGUCACUUGAAACAGCAAGACUUGAGUACGGGAGAGGAGAGAGGAAUUCCUGGUGUAGAGGUGAAAUUCGUAGAUAUCAGGAGGAACACCGAUGGCGAAGGCAUCUCUCUGGACCGAUACUGACGCUGAGGCGCGAAGGCGUGGGUAGCGAACGGGAUUAGAUA